GCUCUCAUGUGGUCUCUCUCAGUGUGUGAUUCUUUCCACAUGACCUUAAUAAAAUAAAUUUUGCAGUUGCGGAGUAAUCUACUCUUUCGGUCCACAAUAUCGACUGAUACUUACUCGUAGGACAGAUUCUCAUAGAGUGGAAGAGUCUCGUGGGCCAAGACGUGAGAAGGGUCUAGAUUGUACUUGCGUAGCAUGGAUACAUGAAACAUAUUAUGGACCUUGAAAAGUUCUGGAGGUAGUGGCAGUCUGUAGGUGGCACUACCAAUUCUGUCUAAAAUCUCGAAUGACCUAAUAAACUGGGGGCUUAGUUUCCCCCUCUUACCAAACCUACUGAUUCUCUUGAAAGGAGUAACCUUAAGGAACACCCGAUCGUCUUUCUCAAAUUUAAAAUCCCUCCUCUAGGUGUCCGCAUAACUUUUCUAUCUGCUUUGAGCUGUUUGAAUGUUCUUCCUGAUCUUAACUACUUUGGCUGUAGUCUCCUUUACAAGGUUUGGACCGAACGGUUUUCUAUCAUCCACUUAUUCCCAACAGAUCGGUG
rnacentral:lncRNA from 1 species